rnacentral:rRNA from 1 species
AUUGAACGCUGGCGGCACGCCUAACACAUGCAAGUCGAGCGGUAACAUGAUGUGUAGCAAUACACAUUGAUGACGAGCGGCGGACGGGUGAGGAACACGUAGGAACCUGCCCUCAAGCGGGGGAUAACCAGGGGAAACCCUGGCUAAUACCGCAUAAUCUCGAGAGAGAAAAGCUACCCGCAAGGGCGGCACUUGAGGAGGGGCCUGCGUGCGAUUAGCUAGCUGGUGAGGUAAUGGCUCACCAGGGCGAUGAUCGGUAACUGGUCUGAGAGGACGACCAGUCACACUGGGACUGAGACACGGCCCAGACUCCUACGGGAGGCAGCAGUGGGGAAUAUUGGACAAUGGGGGCAACCCUGAUCCAGCGAUGCCGCGUGAGUGAAGAAGGCCUUCGGGUCGUAAAGCUCUUUAGGCCGGGAAGAAGGGUGUGUGGUGCAUAGCCACGCACUUUGACGGUACCGGCAGAAUAAGCACCGGCAAACCCUAUGCCAGCCGCCGCUGUAA